rnacentral:rRNA from 1 species
CGGACGGGUGAGUAACGCGUGAGCAACCUGCCUUCGAGAGGGGAAUAACGGCUGGAAACGGUCGCUAAUACCGCAUAACAUACCGGGAGGACAUCCUGCUGGUAUCAAAGAUUUAUCGCUCGAAGAUGGGCUCGCGUCCGAUUAGGUAGUUGGUGAGGUAACGGCUCACCAAGCCGACGAUCGGUAGCCGGACUGAGAGGUUGAACGGCCACAUUGGGACUGAGACACGGCCCAGACUCCUACGGAAGGCAGCAG